AAGAAGUUAGUUUAAUAAAACAAAUGAUUUCGACUCAUUAAUCCUUGCUACCAGCAAGACUUCUCU
rnacentral:tRNA from 1 species